UUAAGUUCAGCGGGUAUCCCUACCUGAUCCGAGGUCAAACUUAGAGAGUGGGGGUUGAUGGCUAGCGUCCACCGGGUCCCUAUAGCGAGGAUAUUUACUACGCUCAGGGCCUCGACGGCACCGCCACUGAUUUUAAGGCCCGCUGGGUGAGCAGCGGAGCCCAAUACCAAGCUAUGCUUGAGGGUUGUAAUGACGCUCGA
rnacentral:misc_RNA from 1 species